CUGCAAGAAGCAUCUUUGCAUGGAGCUAAAAUGCCUUUUCCAAUACAUUGUUAAUCAACUGAAGAAAGGAUUGGGCACUGAGCUUGUUGUACUGGAGGAACUGAUUCAGCAAAUGGCAAAUGUACAGUAUACUGAGAACAUGACAGAUGAACAGGUUGAUGCUAUGGCAGGGAGUGAAACACUAUGCACCAAGUUUUGUAGCCCCCUAGAGUAGAAAAUAUAUCAUGUAUACGCCCAAGUAUUGAUUGUAAAACUUAUGUGAUUAAAGCAGGAACAUGCAUCUUUGUCUGUAAUGAAUGAAGUUAUCCAUUUUUGGUUUAAUUAUUUGUCGGUUGUA